UUGCUUUUCUGAAUCUAGUGGCGAACGGGUGAGUAACACGUAGGUAACCUGCCCAUGUGCCCGGGAUAACUUCUGGAAACGGAUGCUAAAACCGGAUAGGUAGCAGACAAGCAUUUGACUGCUAUUAAAGUGGCUAAGGCCAUGAACAUGGAUGGACCUGCGGUGCAUUAGCUAGUUGGUGAGGUAACGGCUCACCAAGGCGACGAUCAGUAGCCGGCCUGAGAGGGUGAACGGCCACAUUGGGACUGAGACACGGCCCAGACUCC
rnacentral:rRNA from 1 species